UUUACUAAUUGUUGAAACCUUCCCAGCUGGAAAAGGCAAUUAGAUCAAUAAAUUAAUUCACCAGAUGCUUCUCAAUUGGGGUUUUUCCAAGAAGUUUUCCUCCCUGAAAGAAAAAAAAGAAGAAGAAGUGGGUUAUGGCAUCAGCCCUACUUAAUCACCCAGCACUUCAGCCUCCCGAGACAAGCUAUGCCCACCCAUCGUUGACCUUUAAGUGUUAAGCAACAAACCCAGAGCAAGCUAAAUCUUAGUCACUGAGCUGAGAAGAAAGAAUUGGUCUGCACUGUACUUUCUGUAACACCUAAAAAUAACUUCUCCCCAUGGACUGGAGUGGGGAACUUGACUGGGAAAUAUAGCAGAAGACCUUGAUUAAAAAGCCGAUAAGAAGGCAGGUACACUGCUGUACCAGACAUUGCAUGGCCAAUGGAGCUAGAAGACGUACAUGUGUGUGUGUGUGGGUGGGUGGGUGUGGGUGUGUACCAGAGGGCCUGGUUCCCCUGCUGUAGAUCACAUCUGGGGCAGUAAAGACACCGUGUGAUGGGGCUUUACCACUCCCUCAUCUGAUGACUAACAUGGAGAAGAUUCAGUGAGAAAUUAGAAGCCACUGGAGGCAGAGGAUGGAGUUCCAGUGUAGAAACAAGAACACGGGCUCCCAACUACCAGCUGUGACACUUCCCACUUACCUGGGUGGGCGGCCCUGGACAAGUCUCUGAAGCUUUCUGGAUUCGUUUUCCUCAUCCACCGAUGGGGGGAGUAGACGAGAUGCUCUCCAAGUCCCUUCCAGCCACAGCAUUCUUGGGAGUCCGCUUGUUUCUCGUGGUCAUCUGCUUCAUGGCUUCCUUUGGCUCCUCUGCUCCCAUCCCGCCUGGCCACCCACACGCACUACCGCCUUUCCUCACUCCUUCCUGCUGUCUGCUUCUGCCACCACCAGACCGGAGGAUCAGGCACACUCAGAGUUUCCCGUAAGCACAGAAUCCCAUGAACACCAGACAGAGAGGGGCAAGGAGGGGGAAGCUGCACGUGAGCCAGCCUGCCCCGAGCCCUGCUCCUCGGAUACCUCGGAUGUGUCCUUAUUGAAAGCCUGCUCUGUCUGCCACGGUUUGCCAGGGGCAUUGAGGAUGCAGGAAAAGGGACCCCUCUAAACAGUGUACCUGGAAGAAUUCUGACUUGUUUCAAGUGCUCUUUCUCCAGUUGGCUGAAGCUUCUGUGACUCCACUCCUGUCCGGCUUGCCUGGUUCUCUGGGCAGGCACAGUGAGAGGAACAGUUUGACACCAAACUCUGAUCACGGCCACCCCAUCCGCUGUUUCAGAGCUGAUGUGCUUCCCUGGAUGGAAUGAAUGGAUCAUGGCUAGGACUCAGCUCUAGCUAUUGCCAGAUCACUCUCCAGAAAAAUGCAACUGAUUUCUAGGGUCUCCAACUCCAUUUAAAUGUGCCAUUUUCCCCAGCACGGAACUGUGCUGUCACUGAGUUUUGUCAUUUGUAGUCACCUUUGCCCUGUCAAACUGGGGAGACUGAGACAGUCAGGAUAUAGGAUAGGAGUCAAGGGAGAGGAUUUGCAAGAUGAAGCCAAGAAGCAGAACUGCGCAGAAGCUAAGAAAUGCUCCAUGUGAGACAGAGUGAAUGAGAUGCACUUUUUACGGCCACUUGUCCUUGGGUGUGCGGUGGGCUGGCCUGGGUUGAAAAUUUAGAGUCAGGGGGACACCAGUUUAGCACAUGUGUAGUGGAGCCUGAGGCUUGUUUCUAUCUUCGCAUUUCUUUCCUUUUUCAGCCAGCCUGUGCAUCUUUCUGUGGAUAGUUUACUAUCUGCAAUCCUUCUGUGCAUUAUCAUGGAUUCCUUGUCCUGAGGUCUCUUUCCCCUGCUUUCUCAAGCGAAAA